rnacentral:tRNA from 1 species
UUAACUAAAGCCAAAACAGAGGCAAUUUAUUGUUAAUAAAGAAAUUGAACUUAGUUCUAGUUAAA